AGUGAACGCUGGCGGUAGGCCUAACACAUGCAAGUCGAACGGCAGCACAGUAAGAGCUUGCUCUUACGGGUGGCGAGUGGCGGACGGGUGAGGAAUACAUCGGAAUCUACUUUUUCGUGGGGGAUAACGUAGGGAAACUUACUCUAAUACCGCAUACGACCUACGGGUGAAAGCAGGGGAUCUUCGGACCUUGCGCGAUUGAAUGAGCCGAUGUCGGAUUAGCUAGUUGGCGGGGUAAAGGCCCACCAAGGCGACGAUCCGUAGCUGGUCUGAGAGGAUGAUCAGCCACACUGGAACUGAGACACGGUCCAGACUCCUACGGGAGGCAGCAGUGGGGAAUAUUGGACAAUGGGCGCAAGCAUGAUCCAGCCAUACCGCGUGGGUGAAGAAGGCCUUCGGGUUGUAAAGACCUUUUGUUGGGAAAGAAAAGCAGCAGGUUAAUACCCCGCUGUUCUGACGGUACCCAAAGAAUAAGCACCGGCUAACUUCGUG
rnacentral:rRNA from 1 species